GAUGAACGCUUUCGGGAGGCCUAACACAUGCAAGCCGAGCGGUAUUGUUUCUUCGGAAAUGAGAGAGCGGCGUACGGGUGCGGAACACGUGUGCAACCUGCCUUUAUCUGGGGGAUAGCCUUUCGAAAGGAAGAUUAAUACUCCAUAACAUAUUGAUUGGCAUCAAUUAAUAUUGAAAGCUCCGGCGGAUAGAGAUGGGCACGCGCAAGAUUAGCUAGUUGGUGAGGUAACGGCUCACCAAGGCGAUGAUCUUUAGGGGGCCUGAGAGGGUGAUCCCCCACACUGGUACUGAGACACGGACCAGACUCCUACGGGAGGCAGCAGUGAGGAAUAUUGGUCAAUGGGUGCAAGCCUGAACCAGCCAUCCCGCGUGAAGGACGACUGCCCUAUGGGUUGUAAACUUCUUUUGUAUAGGGAUAAACCUACCCUCGUGAGGGUAGCUGAAGGUACUAUACGAAUAAGCACCGGCUAACUCCGUGCCAGCAGCCGCGGUAAUACGGAGGGUACAAGCGUUAUCCGGAUUUAUUGGGUUUAAAGGGUCCGUAGGCGGACUUAUAAGUCAGGUGGUGAAAGCCUGUCGCUUAACGAUAGAACUGCCAUUGAUACUGUAAGUCUUGAGUAUAUUUGAGGUAGCUGGAAUAAGUUAUGUAGCGGGUGAAAUGCAUAGAUUUUACUUAGAACACCCAUUGCGAAGGCAGGGUUACCCAGAUAUAACUUGACCCUGAGGGAACGAAAGGCGUGGGGGAGCGAACAGGAUUAGGAUACCCUGGUAGUCCACGCCGUAAAACGAUGCUAACUCGUUUUUGGGCUUUAGGGUUCAGAGACCAAGCGAAAGCGAUAAAGUUAGCCACCUGGGGAGUACGCUCGCAAGAGUGAAACUCAAAGGAAUUGACGGGGGCCCGCGCAAGCAGUGGAUUAUGUGGUUUAAUUCGAUGAUACGCGAGGAACCUUACCAAGACUUAAAUGGGAAUUGACAGCUUUAGAAAUAGAGCUUUCUUCGGACAAUUUUCAAGGUGCUGCAUGGUUGUCGUCAGCUCGUGCCGUGAGGUGUUAGGUUAAGUCCUGCAACGAGCGCAACCCCUGUCACUAGUUGCCAUCAUUCAGUUGGGGACUCUAGUGAGACUGCCUACGCAAGUAGAGAGGAAGGUGGGGAUGACGUCAAAUCAUCACGGCCCUUACGUCUUGGGCCACACACGUAAUACAAUGGCCGGUACAGAGGGCAGCUACACAGCGAUGUGAUGCAAAUCUCGAAAGCCGGUCUCAGUUCGGAUUGGAGUCUGCAACUCGACUCUAUGAAGCUGGAAUCGCUAGUAAUCGCGCAUCAGCCAUGGCGCGGUGAAUACGUUCCCGGGCCU
rnacentral:rRNA from 1 species